rnacentral:rRNA from 1 species
GACGAACGCUGGCGGCGUGCUUAACACAUGCAAGUCGAACGAGUGGCGAACGGGUGAGUAACACGUGGGUGAUCUGCCUUGCACUCUGGGAUAAGCUUGGGAAACUGGGUCUAAUACCGGAUAGUGCAAGAUGAGCUCGCGGCCUAUCAGCUUGUUGGUGGGGUAAUGGCUACCAAGGCGCGACGGGUAGCCGGCCUGAGAGGGUGUACGGCCACAGUGGGACUGAGAUACGGCCCAGACUCCUACGGGAGGCAGCAGUGGGGAAUAUUGCACAAUGGGCGGAAGCCUGAUGCAGCGACGCCGCGUGAGUGAAGAAGGUUUUCGGAUCGUAAAACUCUGUUGUUAGAAAAGCGGUAUCUAACCAGAAAGCCACGGCUAACUACGUGCCAGCAGCCGCGGUAAUAC